rnacentral:rRNA from 1 species
UACAGAGGUCUCGAGCGUUGUUCGGAUUCAUUGGGCGUAAAGGGCGCGUAGGCGGCGGGGUAAGUCUGGUGUGAAAUCUCGGAGCUCAACUCCGAAAUUGCACUGGAUACUGCCGUGCUUGAGGACUGGAGAGGAGACUGGAAUUUACGGUGUAGCGGUGAAAUGCGUAGAUAUCGUAAGGAAGACCAGUGGCGAAGGCGGGUCUCUGGACAGUUCCUGACGCUGAGGCACGAAGGCCAGGGGAGCAAACGGG